GCCGGGUGUGGUGGCACACACCUGUAGUCCCAGCUACUUGGGAGGCUGAGGCAGGAGAAUCGCUUGAACCCAGGAGGCGGAGGUUGCAGUGAGCUGAGUUCGUGCCACUGCAUUCCAGCCUGGGCAACAGAGUGAGACUCUGUCUCAA
rnacentral:sRNA from 1 species